UACGUAGGGGGCUAGCGUUGUCCGGAAUCAUUGGGCGUAAAGCGCGUGUAGGCGGUCCGGUAAGUCCGCUGUGAAAGUCGGGGGCUCAACCCUCGGAUGCCGGUGGAGUACUGUCGGGCUUGAGUACGGAAGAGGCGAGUGGAAUUCCGUGGUGUAGCGGUGAAAUGCGCAGAUAUCAGGAGGAACACCAAUUGCGAAGGCAGCUCGCUGGACGUUACUGACGCUGGAGACGCGAAAGCGUGGGAGC
rnacentral:rRNA from 1 species